rnacentral:tRNA from 2 species
GACUCCGUGGCGUAAUGGUAGCGCGUCUGACUCCAGAUCAAAAGGUUGCGUGUUCAAAUCACGUCGGGGUCA